rnacentral:rRNA from 1 species
GCCUACGGGAGGCAGCAGUGAGGAAUAUUGGUCAAUGGUCGGGAGACUGAACCAGCCAAGCCGCGUGAGGGAUGAAGGUACAGAGUAUCGUAAACCUCUUUUGUCAGGGAACAAAGGCGGGGACGUGUCCCCGGAUGAGUGUACCUGAAGAAAAAGCAUCGGCUAACUCCGUGCCAGCGGCCGCGGUAAUACGGAGGAUGCGAGCGUUAUCCGGAUUUAUUGGGUUUAAAGGGUGCGCAGGCGGUCUGUUAAGUCAGCGGUCAAAGCCCGGGGCUCACCCCCGGCCCGCCGUUGAAACUGGCAGG